rnacentral:rRNA from 1 species
AGUGAACGCUGGCGGUAGGCCUAACACAUGCAAGUCGAACGGCAGCACAGUAAGAGCUUGCUCUUACGGGUGGCGAGUGGCGGACGGGUGAGGAAUACAUCGGAAUCUACUUUUUCGUGGGGGAUAACGUAGGGAAACUUACGCUAAUACCGCAUACGACCUACGGGUGAAAGCAGGGGAUCUUCGGACCUUGCGCUAUUGAAUGAGCCGAUGUCGGAUUAGCUAGUUGGCGGGGUAAAGGCCGACCAAGGCGACGAUCCGUAGCUGGUCUGAGAGGAUGAUCAGCCACACUGGAACUGAGACACGGUCCAGACUCCUACGGGAGGAAGCAGUGGGGAAUAUUGGACAAAGGGCGCAAGCCUGAUCCAGCCAUACCGCGUGGGUGAAGAAGGCCUUCGGGUUGUAAAGCCCUUUUGUUGGGAAAGAAAAGCAGCAGGUUAAUACCCCGCUGUUCUGACGGUACCCAAAGAAUAAGCAACGGCUAACUUCGUG